rnacentral:lncRNA from 1 species
AGGGAACAGUUCCAUUGUUACCAAAACAUCCACAAUAAAAACAACAAAAGGUACCAGUCAUAAACAUCAUUAAGAUGAAAAACGGAAGACGAACACUAGGAACUUGACACUGGAAACAUGACAACUAUUAAGGAGCACCGGAAGGGAGAGCCCUAGAGGCAGAGGAAGAGACAAAGGUUCUAAGAAGAUUGUUCAUACGAGCAUUUGCAGACCCUUGCUCGGUUAGCAACCUUUCCUUCAGGUCUUCAACUUGUCUCCUGAGAGCAGCAUUUUUCUUUGUCAGGCAGGCAACCUCUGUGUUUUGGGCAUUACUGGAACCAGCUGUCUCCUGGGUAUGACUGAACUGACCUUCGAGAAUGGCAUUCCGAGCCUUCAGCUUCCUUAUUUGUUCAGUGACACUGUUUUGAGCGUUGAUCAACUGAGAAAUGGUAGAAUUACUACCUACCCCUCCACUCCUAUUAAUGCACUCACACUCUUCAAAGAUGGUUUUGGAGAAAGAUUGCUUGCGAGUUCCUACGUAAUCUAAAAAUUGAUAGAACUGACCAAAAAAACAAAAAAGAAAUAGUGUAUCAAUUUUGGGAGAUGAAUUAUUCACCCACGUAUAGGCUAACCAUGAAUAUUUUACCUCAAUUGGACUCAGUAAAAAUCAUAUUGCUUCAGAUUUGGUUCCUAAAAAAUUGUUUUACCUCUUGAUUUGAUAGAACGGAACAUGAUUGAAAUCCCAUCGCCAAUCUAAAGAAUUCAAUUCCUUCAAAAUUGGGGAAAAAGAUACCAUGACAACCUUGAUUUGAUAGAUCUGGAAAUAAAAAGCUCCUAAAUUUCAAUCUUAUUUUCAGUGAAGAUGCAGUUGAAAUCUCAUGUCAAUCUAGAGAAGUCAUAUCAUUGGCUAGAAAGAUUAACCUAAUUGCCAAAACUAGGAGCAGAAAUACGUGUUAUUUGAAACUAGAGAUAAGACAACAUGCUGAAUUAUGACCAAAACCCCGUACCUACUACAGAAGUGAUCAGAUCCACCUUUCAGUCUGUUCUUGGAAGUUAAGCGAUAAACUAUUGAUAUAAUUGAUAUUUCUAUUAAAUGAACCAUGACUUCCACACAAAUGACCAUUUUCAGACUCGGGGAGGUAAGAAUUUUCAGAGCCGGAGAAGUAAGAACGCCCAUGAAAACAACAAGUUGAAUUUUGGACAUGUGAAAAGAAAUGGAAGGAGG